GGGGAUUUGGCUCAGUGGUAGAGCGCUUGCCUAGCAAGCGCAAGGCCCUGGGUUCGAUUCCCCAGCUCCG
rnacentral:tRNA from 1 species